UUAUAUAGGUUGGGGUUUCUAUUGGAGC
rnacentral:sRNA from 1 species